rnacentral:rRNA from 1 species
UACGUAGGGUCCGAGCGUUGUCCGGAAUUAUUGGGCGUAAAGGGCUCGUAGGCGGUUUGUCGCGUCGGGAGUGAAAACCUACAGCUUAACUGUGGGCUUGCUUUCGAUACGGGCAGACUUGAGGCAUGCAGGGGAGAGCGGAAUUCCUGGUGUAGCGGUGAAAUGCGCAGAUAUCAGGAGGAACACCGGUGGCGAAGGCGGUUCUCUGGGCAUGUUCUGACGCUGAGGAGCGAAAGUGUGGGGAGCGAACAGG